GCCCACAUAGCUCAGUAGGCAGAGCGUAUCCUUGGUAAGGAUAAGGUCACCGGUUCGAUCCCGGUUGUGGGCUCCA
rnacentral:tRNA from 1 species